rnacentral:rRNA from 1 species
CCCACCGGCUUUNNNUNNGNNGUUCNUCNGUAAGGUNGANCNUNNAGGNNGGGUUCGGAUCAUNAAAGAACGCCGGGUUUUUUGGAAUGGGNUUCUAUCCCCCACCCNGUGUAUACAUACCUUUGUUGCUUUGGCAGGCCGCCUUCGGGCGUCGGCUCACGCUGACCGCGCCUGUCAGAGGACCCAAAUUCGUUUAUUUAGUGNUGUCUGAGUACUAUAUAAUAGUUAAAACUUCCAACAACGGAUCUCUUGGUUCUGGCAUCGAUGAAGAACGCAGCGAAAUGCGAUAAGUAAUGUGNAUUGCAGAAUUCAGUGAAUCAUCGAAUCUUUGAACGCACAUUGCGCCCCUUGGUAUUCCGAGGGGCAUGCCUGUUCGAGCGUCAUUAUGACCACUCAAGCCNAGCUUGGUAUUGGGGUUCGCGGUCUCGCGGCCCUUAAAAUCAGUGGCGGUGCCAUCUGGCUCUAAGCGUAGUAAUUUAUCUCGCUAUUGGGUCCGGUGGGUGCUUGCCAACAACCCCCAACUUCUAAGGUUGACCUCGGAUCAUNAGG